CCUACGGGUGGCAGCAGUGGGGAAUAUUGGGCAAUGGGCGCAAGCCUGACCCAGCAACGCCGCGUGAAGGAAGAAGGCUUUCGGGUUGUAAACUUCUUUUAAGGGGGAAGAGCAGAAGACGGUACCCCUUGAAUAAGCCACGGCUAACUACGUGCCAGCAGCCGCGGUAAUACGUAGGGAGCAAGCGUUGUCCGGAAUUACUGGGCGUAAAGGGCGCGUAGGUGGGCGCUUAAGUCAGGUGUGAAAACUCCGGGCUCAACCUGGAGACUGCACUUGAAACUGGGUGUCUUGAGGGCAGGAGAGGAAAGUGGAAUUCCUAGUGUAGCGGUGAAAUGCGUAGAUAUUAGGAGGAACACCAGUGGCGAAGGCGACUUUCUGGACUGUACCUGACGCUGAGGCGCGAAAGCGUGGGUAGCGAACGGGAUUAGAUACCCCAGUAGUC
rnacentral:rRNA from 1 species